GCCUGGCUAGCUCAGUUGAUAGAGCUUAUGACUCUUAAUCUUGGGAUCAUGAGUUUGAGGCCCAUGUUAGGUG
rnacentral:tRNA from 1 species